CCACAGCAUACGUAUAAAAUAAGCAACACAUCUUAUAACAUCCAGUCAUUUAUUACGUUUGCUUUGUUAGGUUACAUCUGCACUGUGUUCACAUUUUUUUUUUUUACUAAAACAUACAACUUAUAGUAAUAGUAGUUGCAAAAAAUAUACAAAAUGAACAUAUCUUUUAUUUUUAUGAUCUGUCUACUCGUUCUGGUGACUUUAAGCGAAGCUAAGCCAAGAUACAAAAAUGGCAGGAUGGGACGGUUUCGGUUCCCCUUCAGCGAGGAGAGUAAGGAGAGCGAAGAGGACUCCAAAGAGAACUCUCCGUGCGACGGCUGUACUAUAAACAACAUUGGAAACGGCUACAAAAACCAUAAUGAAGUUCACAUGUAUGAAAGGGGAAUACCAAAAUAGAAAUUCUGUACAUACUGCAAACUAUGGAACUUAUUUAACAAACGUACCUCAUUAUUUAGAAAUGGCGAUGGUAGAAACCAUAGAAGUCUAAGUACAAAAGCAAUAGAAAUGGCAUACAACCGUGACCUUGUUGCCGCGCCCAAAAUGUAUGAAAAACUUAAGCCCUGUACUCGACUCUACACUGUGCCUAGUAGGAGUUUUCAAUAUUUUCAUACUGUUACUAUCACGUUGACGUUUACGCAAAUUUAUAUGGAAUUGAAACGGUUGUGCAGUAGUGCCACUAGAUGGCUCUGUUUCAAUUCCUUAGAAAUUCGCGUUUACGUUACGUGACAGUAACAGUAUCAAACUGCCACUAGGCUUUCUGUACUGUGUUUCCGCAUUCGUCACUUUCGAUCUAGGGCGUCCAUCAACAACACAUAUCCAGCGGCGUAGCUACCGUCAUACCAGAAGUAUCAAUGAUACGGGGCCCUCGGACUACAUGGGGCCCCUUACGUGUCAAAGCAAAAAUUAGUAAAAUUUAAUUAACAAUCUCCCUUAAUCGGGUUCUUUCCCAAAAAAAAAGAUGUUUGGAUAGAAGCAGGCGUUACUUUGCGGAAGUUCAUCAUGAUUAUCUAAUGAUUUAUUUAUUUUGUUGUGAAACGUACGUAGAGAGUAUUUUGUCGGACCUGGGUGACGUUGUCGCAUGGGUUCGUCGACUUUUCGCGGAUGAUAGCAAAAUAAAUAAAUCAUUAUAUAAAAAAAGAUGUUAUUAAAAAUACUGUCCCCCUAACUAAUUGAGAUACUGGGCUUCUCAAAGUGGCACGCUACGCAACUGCACAUAUUACUAUAGUUUGUUGAUAUACUAUAUUCAUGCUCGAAACGCAAUACAAACAUCGCAAUCUAUACUAAUAUUACAAAGUUUGUUAGUUUGAUUGAACGCGCUAACCUCAGGAACUACUGGUCCGAUUUGAAAAACUCUUUCAGUGUUAGAUAGCCCAUUUAUCGAGGAAUGCUAUAGACUAUAUUUUAUCCUCAUAUUUCUAAGGGAACGGGAACCACGCGGGUGAAACCGCGCGGCGUCAGCUAGUAUCCUAAUAAAACCAGAGGUUUUCUAUAAACUUUUUGAAAUUAUUUAAAUUAGACACAGCAAGACAAAGUAUUGUAAUUUAAUUUCCAUAUUUCAGUCCAACUAAUUACGAGUAAAUUGUCUAUGUACUUUAUAUAAAUAUAUUAUUAUUAAUAUAGUUUAGUAAAUAUUAAAUGUAAAUAAAUAUUCUUAAAAUUAAAAUAUUUUUUUGGAACUGAUUGUGUAAUGAAAUUAAAUACUCGCUCGUCUUUUAAUUUUAAGUACCUACGUCAUAUCUACUUCAAAAUUAUUUAAAAAUCAAAAUCAAAAAUCAUUUAUUUCAAGUAGGCUCAGUUUACAAGCAGUUUUGACUCGUCAGUUGACUAUUUGUAAAGAUUCUACCACCGGUUCGGAAGGCAGGUUCUGCUGAGAAGAAACCGGCAAGAAACUCAACAGUUGCUCUUUUAAAAAAAUCGUAAAGUAUUAUAAUUUACAAUUUAUGAUAACAUUACAAUUUCUUAUAGUUUUACUUUUUGUGUGAAGCUGGAAGCUGAUUCAAUGGCCUCCAAGCUCUUUUAUCUUUAAGGAACUCAUCAAUGUAGUAACCUCGACUAAGUAAAUGUGAUGUUUUUAAAUCAUAAGGUAUUCACGGUUUGAUACUGUGGUCUCUAGAGUGUAAUCUUCAGCCUAUAUCAACUGUAAUUAAGGAAGCGUUAACGUAAGUAGGAUAUGAUCUCCUUUGGAAAUUUGAACCGAAUAAAUUGACGCUCUAAUAAUAUAUUAGAAACUGGCGGACGCCCGCGACUUCGUCCACGUGGACAAUGUAAACUUUCAACCCACUUCAUCACUUUAGGGGUUGAAUUUUAAAAAUUCUUGAAUCACAAUCAAUUUGUAAAAGUAUUUUUUUUCAUAAUUUAUGGUCAUUUUUUUAGAUUUGUCACUAUAAACAUAGAGGACUUUCCAUACAAACUUUCAACCCUUAUUUCACACCCUUUGAUUUUAUUUUCCCUAUAAAAAAAAAUAUUUUCCAAGGUCUCAAACCGAGCAAAAGUUUCAUUUCAAUUCAUUCAGUAGUUUCAGCGUGAUGCCUGAAUAACAAAAAAACACGAACAGACAGACAGACAGACAAAAAAUCGAAAAAAAAAUAUUUAUUUAUUGAUUAUACAAUGCCCAACGAAAAUUUUUAAAAUAUCUUCAAUGUACAGAAUUGGACCUGCUACAGUUUUAUUAUAAGUAUAGAUUAAAUAUUUGAUAAAAAUGACAAAAAAAAACUGAAAUAGCCAAUUGUAAAAAUAUUUAUCUACUAGCGUAUGCCCGCGACUUCGUCCGCGUGGAAAAGUUAACAUUAAAACGCCUAUUUCACUACUUUAAGGGUUGAAUUUUCUUUCUUUUCUUUUUCUUGAAUCACAUUAUAUUUCGUGUUUUGUAUGAAAAAAUUUAAAACUGUCACUCUAAAAAUUAAGGACUUUCCAUACAAACUUUCAACCCCUAUUUCACCCCCUUCUAUUUUUAUUUUAGGAUCAAAGAGUAAGUUUGCUCUAAGGUCCCAUUUACCAUUAUACCAAAAACUCAUCUUGAUCGAUUCAGCCGUUUAGCUGUGAGAACAGACAGACAGACUUUCGCAUGUAUAAUAUUAGUAUAGAUUUUUGAAAUUCAAAUUUGAAGGUACGAAAAGAAAUAAAAUUAGACACGUAUGAUACAAAAAGUAAACUAGAUUCUACGCAGAUGAUUCAAAUAUUUGAAACCAACUAUGAGGACAGGUUACACAAUAAGCCCCAGCCGUUUUCGCUAACAGACAGACAGACUUUCGCAUUUAUAAUAUUAGUAUAGAUUUUUGGAAUUUUUAUUUGAAGGUACGAAAAGAAAUAAAAUUCGACACGUAUGAUACAAAAAGUAAACUAGAUUCUACGCAGAUGAUUCAAAUAUUUGAAACCAACUAUGAGGACAGGUUACACAAUAAGCCCCAGCCGUUUUCGCUAACAGACAGACAGACUUUCGCAUUUAUAAUAUUAGUAUAGAUUUUUGGAAUUUUUAUUUGAAGGUACGAAAAGAAAUAAAAUUCGACACGUAUGAUACAAAAAGUAAACUAGAUUCUACGCAGAUGAUUCAAAUAUUUGAAACCAACUAUGAGGACAGGUUACACAAUAAGCCCCAGCCGUUUUCGCUAACAGACAGACAGACUUUCGCAUUUAUAAUAUUAGUAUAGAUUUUUGGAAUUUUUAUUUGAAGGUACGAAAAGAAAUAAAAUUCGACACGUAUGAUACAAAAAGUAAACUAGAUUCUACGCAGAUGAUUCAAAUAUUUGAAACCAACUAUGAGGACAGGUUACACAAUAAGCCCCAGCCGUUUUCGCUAACAGACAGACAGACUUUCGCAUUUAUAAUAUUAGUAUAGAUUUUUGGAAUUUUUAUUUGAAGGUACGAAAAGAAAUAAAAUUCGACACGUAUGAUACAAAAAGUAAACUAGAUUCUACGCAGAUGAUUCAAAUAUUUGAAACCAACUAUGAGGACAGGUUACACAAUAAGCCCCAGCCGUUUUCGCUAACAGACAGACAGACUUUCCCAUUUAUAAUAUUAGUAUAGAUUUUUGGAAUUUUUAUUUGAAGGUACGAAAAGAAAUAAAAUUCGACACGUAUGAUACAAAAAGUAAACUAGAUUCUACGCAGAUGAUUCAAAUAUUUGAAACCAACUAUGAGGACAGGUUACACAAUAAGCCCCAGCCGUUUUCGCUAACAGACAGACAGACUUUCGCAUUUAUAAUAUUAGUAUAGAUUUUUGGAAUUUUUAUUUGAAGGUACGAAAAGAAAUAAAAUUCGACACGUAUGAUACAAAAAGUAAACUAGAUUCUACGCAGAUGAUUCAAAUAUUUGAAACCAACUAUGAGGACAGGUUACACAAUAAGCCCCAGCCGUUUUCGCUAACAGACAGACAGACUUUCGCAUUUAUAAUAUUAGUAUAGAUUUUUGGAAUUUUUAUUUGAAGGUACGAAAAGAAAUAAAAUUCGACACGUAUGAUACAAAAAGUAAACUAGAUUCUACGCAGAUGAUUCAAAUAUUUGAAACCAACUAUGAGGACAGGUUACACAAUAAGCCCCAGCCGUUUUCGCUAACUCAAUUCACUGUAUUGAUACAGAGUCGAAAAAACCGAAAGGAAAAAAAAUAUCUAAUAAAAUUCUUAUUCAUGAA